UACAUAUUAUGUAAAUACGAGCUUCUUAUUUAAGGCCAUUUUACAAAGAAAGGUCUUUUAAUAGAAUAUGUCAAUCAUAUAAAUAAAAUUGAGAUGUUAAAAACAUAAUCUAGUCAUAUCUUAGUUGGAGCAAUGAGCAUGUAUCAUAUUCGCUUGUAGAAUUUGAGUUCGAAUACCACCUAGUCAGAUCUAUUAUACUCCCUCCGAACCAUUAUAGAUGUCCCAUUUUCUUAUUUGGCAAAGUCUUUUUAGUUGUCCAAUUUCUAUUUUUGUCAAUCUUUUUUUACCUAAAUAUCCUUAGUUCACACAAGUAAUUACGAAUAUACCCCCAUAUACCUUACUUACUCAACUAUUCUUCACUACUUACCCUUCACUAUUUACCCUUUUUGAUGGACCCCACACCAUUUUUAAUAACCGUGCCCAAGCAAGGUUCGGACGGAGUAUAUAAUAAUAAUAAAAAAAAAACUAAAACAGACAAAUUGAGAUUGGUUGAAUUAGUCCGUUAAACGUUCCUAACGGCUAAAGACUCGCGGUCUCGUCUACUUAAAUUUACCCCAUAUCCCCAUCUCUCUUUUCCCCAAAUCCUAUAACAUAAACCCUAAACCGCGACUCCUCUUUCCUCCCAAUUCGUAUGAAAUAUGGAGUUCUUGAAAGGUGAUUUUUAUUUUUCCUCCUUUGUAUUUUGUGCAUGUUAUUAGGGUUCGAUAGUGACGUUUAUUUGUUGAAGAGGUAAGAGUAUUGGAUUGAGAGGUAAACAAUGGAUGGAAACUCUCUCUUGGAAGCACUAUAUUUUUCUGGCUUAUCCCACUGCCAAGGAAAAUGUAAGGAAGUCUUAAAAGAUAUAUUUGGGAAGACUUCAGCCACAACGCUUCAUGCCCUGCAAUACAAUAUCGUUUCUCGAGCACCUUCGCACUAAGAGUGCAAUGCUUCAAGACCUCAAAGCCGGAUAUCUUGAGAUUUAUGAAUACGAGCAAGUUAAUAAGGUGAUUUGUUGUCUACCUAACAAUGAUGAUCGACAGUCAUCGUUCAAGGCUUUAUUAUCUCAUAACAUCAAUUAGAAACUAUUUUCUGAGAUUGCUCGUCAUGCUGAAAUAGAGGAAGAAUGCCCACAUUUUGAGAAACUUUUGAGAAAGUGAUGAUCCUUUUUCCUCACAAUACCUUUUGAACUUAUAAAUGAAUGUGUUUAGAAUAUGAUUUCAAGUUGACCUUAUGAGACGUUAAAACCUAUUGUUACGCAGUGAAACACAUUGUUGACUUGCGUGUAUUGAGAAUUCUCAAUAUCUCUAGCUUUGAGGUCUCGAAGCAUUGCACUCAUAGCGCGAAAAUGCUUGGGAACAAAUCAUGAUGAAUCAAUCUUUUAUUGCAGUUAAUUCAAAUGCAAGUUGCAAUUUGAUGGUAUUACUAGCAUAGAAAAAAUUUGUAGAUGUCGAUGCGAUUGCGGUAACAGUUGCGAUGUCGUGGACGCGGCUCGCGGGUAGAGGUUUCAUUAUACAAUUACUCCAAUACCGCUAGUAUGUUAACGGCCGGUGUCAGUCAUCAUUAAAAUCGCAUACCAGGUGUUAGAUGAUAUGCCUGAAUGAACCAGACAACUUCUGAACUGUAUCUGUACUGAAUUUUGUUGGUUUGGACUGGAGUCUGAUUAAUCCCCGCUGUAAUCUUAAGCUAUCUUUUUGACCAGCAUUUAUCUGUUAACAAUCCUAUCUGAUGGCUCUCUUAUUAGCCAGAAUUAGAAUUUGCAGACUCCAUCAACAGCUUGAGAACCCUUUUCUCAGAUUAUCCUCCUUGUACGCAGGUGUUUCCCAGAACUCAGUUGAGGAAUCCCUGAAAACAGUGGUUACCAACAAGAAAUAUGAACAAAUUCCAGACCUCUUAACCUUUUUAGAAGAAUCCCACAACAAACAAAAUCCCUUUUCAUUUCUUUCUUCAUUCACACUGAGCCAAAGAACUCUAGUUGUUGAUGAAAUGUUACAAUCUUUCAUCUCUCUUAAACCCCAUUCCCGCCUCAAAACUUCCUAUCAUUAUCUGCUAGCUUACACCCUUCAAUGCCCAGACCUGUUUCCGCAUGCUCUUGCAACCCUCCAACGGAUUAUUCGUUCAGGGUGUACCCCUGUACCUCAGACUUACCUUUCUAUGUCCUCUGCUUGGAUUGAUCAGCAAAAACAAUAUAAGUCGGUGCCAAGAAUUCUUCUAAGCAUGAAAUCUAUUGGGUAUCGCCCUGAUUGUGGAACUUGUAAUUUUGUCAUCAAAUCUCUUUGUGCUGUUGAUCAGAUGGAAGAGGCUGAUGAGGUUUUAAGGGGAAUGCUUGAAGUAGGGUGUUUUCCUGAUGUUGAGAGUUACUGUACCAUUAUAUCUGCAUUAUGUGCACUCCGGAAGACAGACAAGGCAGUAGUUAUGAUGAAGGAAAUGGCUGGGAAACUAAGCUUAUCGCCAAGGCAAGGGACAUUGGUGAGGUUAAUGUCAGCAUUGCGUGCAAACAAGGAGAUAUGGAGAGCGGUCGAGGUUAUCGAAUUCUUAGAGAAAAAAGAGUUCCAUAUUGGGUUUGAGAGCUAUGAGCUUGUGCUUGAGGGUUGCUUGGAGUGUAAGGAGUUUAUUUUGGCGGGAAAAAUGGCAAUGAUGAUGACUGAUAGAGGGAACAUUCCAUAUAUUAAAGUUAGGCAGAAGGUGAUUGAGGGCUUGGCUGGAGUUGGUGAGUGGGAGCUCGCUUGUUCUGUAAGGCACAGAUUUGCCGAACUGAAUUCAUAAAUCUGGGAAGGAAAUGGAAAUAUUUGUUUGUUUUUGUAAGUAUGUAUUUUUGUUCAGUUCGUCUUUUCUAGAACGACAGAUAUAUGCAAAGCAGCUUAUACUUUCCACACUAUUUUAGUAGUUCUUGCAUAUAUGUGAAAUGUCUCAUUCACAUCUUUAUAACUUCCACACUGUUUCAUUAUUAGUAAGUGUGAAAUGUCUCAUUUGUGUCUUUCAGUCUUUAUAGCAGUCAACAAAAGCGUACCUUAUGUGGCUGCCCUACUUUUCAAAUACUAUAUUUUUUUCCAGUAUUUAUUCUUCAGAUUUUGUGAAAGUAUUAUUGGUUAUAAUUUUUUGGCUGUUCAAUUUUAUGGCGAUCAAGCCUGUUAUUCUGUAUAGUAGUUUAGCUUGUAUGCUUUUUGUGACCAAAUAAAUUGUUUUGGAUAAUGCUGAGUGAAAUUUUUUGUCAAAUAUGGAACACAUACUAGCGAUGUUCUGAAGUUUAUUGCACUACACAGUGCUCUUUACAGGCACCGUACUUGAGAGUUGCUGUUUUCUUAAUUUUAAGUUUCUCAUUUUGUAGCUAAAGAAAUGGCAAUCAAUGUCUUCUUUUCUUUGCAAGAUGGAGGUUCAAAGUGAUUGUAAUAAUGUUGCUGCACUAGUUUUAUAUGCCAUGAUUUUUGACUUGUGCUUUAUGAGUGGAUAUAAUAAUAGUAAUUUCCAGAUGUGCUCUAUCGUUCCUACCAUUACCAAUGGUGCAGUUAAGGCAGAGAAUUUAAGAGGGAUGUACGGAGAUCUCAUGUAGGUUUUUCUUGGUUUCAUACUUGGUUGGAUAAUUAAUUCUUGUUUUCAUUGAAUCCUACAGGAACCUAGGAAAUAGUCAAAGGAAAAAGAGAGAUGAUAAAUGAGAUUUCACGAGCAAGAGAUGAGAUUACAGAAAUCAAGAGUCUGAAAAUGGUGUGAUGAAUGUCAUGAAGAACAAUCUAAUGAGGACUUGGCAAAGAUGAUUGAUGCUGGAAAUGAUCAAAGAAGCUCCUUGCAAUCGGAAAACAUUUUUUAUUGGAAUUUAUAUGUAAAAUUUGUUGGCGUUGAAGAUCGAGUUUAAUACAUGAAUAUGGUAAUAUCAUAUCGUAAUCAGUUAUAGAUUUUUAUUUUUUAAUGAAACGCAUCAUGUUGUCAUCUUUUUAGAUUAAUCUUUUUUUGUUUAUUUGUUUUUAUCAACAUUUUUUAUGUCGUACUCUAAAUUUAUGUAUCAUCUAUUGGUUGUUGAUACUCGAUGGAAAAAAUGUUAUUAUUCAGACUUUGUUAAGCGGAAAAGAGCGAUGAGUAUUUAAAAAAGAUGGUUGAGCUUGUGGUAUGUUUUUUAUUGUUAUACUUUUGUUGUAUUUCAAACUUGAUUUUUAUUAGCUGAUUUUCAUCUGUUUUUUGCUCAUCAGUCUUUUUUCAUUGACUUUUUUUGAAAGCAAUGGUCAUGAAUAUAUCAUAUGAUAUGAAGAUUUACAAUCUAAAAGGGUGAUGAAUGAUGGAAGAAAUGAUUUUGGUUUGUAUGUUGCUUACUCAUAUGUAUAUUUAUUUAUUUAUUUAUGUUUUUGACUACUGAGGUAUGAGUUACUGAAGGAUUCUUUGGCCACACUCUCUUUUAUGGGUAUGAGUUGUCGCAUUUCUUCCCUUUCUACCUACCUAAACCCUGAUCAUAGUUCCUAUGAGCGGGAUACACUGAGUAUGAUGAUGAUCAUGCUGCUUACUUGAUGGAAGAAUUUGUUGGUGAUACCAAUUUGAGAUGACUAUCUACAUCGGAUGACAGGAUCUUGUACAGGUCCUAACUUUGUUUGAAGCUAGUUUUGUCAAAAAGUAAAAUAGAGCUUAUCAACCUCUAAUAUUGGCCCAGAAGAAAUUGCUAGCUCCAACGAUUGAUGAAAUUCAAUCCAAGCAAGUAGAAAGUAAGAAGCCAACGUAGAAAGUCCGUUCAAAAAGGGGAACAAGAUUCAAGUCAAGCAAGUGAUUUGCAUUUUGGUAUUAAACAUUUUGAUGUUUGUAAAUUUCUUUUAUGUCAUGUUUGGGAGGGAAAUUUGGAAUUAGCUUAAAUUUAUUGUUUGGCAAAUAAAAAAAUUUUAAAUUUGAAUUUGGAUUAAAUUUCAUCAUUGUUUUUAAAGUAGUCAAGGUUGAGAAUUGACUACCCAAAACCUUGUCAUUCUCAAAAUUUUCAUUUAUGAUUUCAUAAUUGAAAUUUAUAAUUUAAAAUGAAAUACUUGCUCCCAAACACUACAUUAAACAAUUAUAAUGACAUUUGUAAUAUUUUAAGUGAUCAAAUUAAUAUGAAAGUGAUCACCAAAAGGUACUCGGUUUUAUAAUGUAGAUGAUCAAUAUAACAUUAUUGAUCACGCCUUUUGCUUAUAUUUUGUCAUCCAAAUUCUUUUAAUGUCCCCUAAAAUAUUGUAUGUACUAUGUAUUGAUCUAUUGAUUCUAUGUCAUGUUAUAUGAUC